UAUAAGAAGAGGAAGAGAUACCAGAGGGAUAUCUCUUUGCCUCCCCCUUAUGAGUACACUGAGGAAAGGCCACACGAGGACACAGUGAGAAGGUGGCCAUCUUCACGCCAGGACAGAAAAAAAAAAAACAAAAAAAACCUCACCAGACAUUAAUCCUGCUAGCACCUUGAUUUUGGACUUCUACCUUCCAGAACUCUGACUUCAACAUUCCAAGCAUUAAUUAAUUUAAAAAAGGCAUCAGAAGCCAUGCCAGAGACUCUUUGUCACAGUCUGAUUAUGAAUCUGGCAUUACAAACACAGCAAGAAGAUGGCAAUCAGCAAAUCAGGAAGAAGGCCCUCCCGAGAACCCAACAAUGCUGGCAGCCUGAUCUUGGAUUUUCCAGCCUCCAGAACUGAAUUGAACACAGCGGCCGGCUGGCAUUGUUGUAAUACUCAAGGAAAACUUACUUCUACUGGCUGAUAUUGGAGCUACUCAGAUUUGACCACAGCUCUGACAUGCAAGAAGAAAAAUUUGAACACAAAGAGACACCAAAGAUGCUAGUGCAGAUAAGAAACCAUGUGAGGACAGUGAGAAGACAGCUCCUUACAACUGAUGAGGGAGGCCUCAGAAGAAACCAACCCUGGUGACAUACUGAUCUCAAACACCUAGCUCUAGAAUUGUGAGGAAAUACAUUUUUGUUGUUGAAGUCACACAAUCUGUGGUAUCUUGUUACAUCAGCUCUGGAAAACGAAUACAGGUGAGGAAAUGAGAACAAACAUGAGAAGACAGUGAGUGAGAAGGCUAGUCAGCAAGAGAAGGCCAUUCGUACACCCUCUGCCCUGCUAAAUUCUCCUCAGAGAUCAUCAACCUGUCCUAGGUUCCAUUCAGACCCUAAAGUGUGAGUUUCUUGCUAUAAUCAAUUUUUUAACAUAUAAGAACUAUAUUUAAAAAAAAAAAUCCCAAGCCAUUGGAAUCCCCCUGCCCUCUCCUACUCCGACUCCUAAGAAAAAAAGCCCCAGUCAUAAUGACGAAUAGGGUUGGAGUAGGGAACUGGUGAUAUGAGGGGAGGGCACUCAAGGAAACCGAAAGAAACGAAAUCGAUAUAUCAAUAUACAUUUUAACAAACAAAAGAUGUGGAGAUGCCAGGAUGUCAUCUUUCCAGAGAGGAGAGCUUCAGGCUUCAGAAGAAUGCAAUGAGGAGAGUAAAUGAUGAGCCACUGCCUGGGGCUCUGAGACUUGGGCACCACUGACGUGUAAAGCAGAUCUUUCAGAACUUUCAUUGAAUGUUGUUCACGGUAUACAUGUAACCACUGAAUUUUAAAGAAAACUUCAAUAAAUUUCUACAAUACUUCUUGAAUAA